ACAUAUAGGAAUCGUGUACAUUUCUUCGUUUCUUCUUUGCUGUUUUCAGUGAGUGUUUUGUUUUCUCUUUGUUCUUGAUCUCGACGGUGUUGUCGUGCUCAUUACCUUACUGAGACGUCCCUUGUGACUGUAGCCAGUGUCACGGAGGAUUUUAUUGGCGUGACGAGGUAGAUCGCCGAGAUCGAGCGUGAAAAACGCUCUGCAUUAGUAGCUCCUGUAGAAUGUCUUCUGGGAUGGCGUAUCCAUGGUCAACAAAGCCAAGGUGCAAGACAGCAUAAGAGAUCGUGUAAACGAUGUGAACUCCAAAAGAUAAUCUGGACAAAUAAAUUAUAUUGUAACUGGAGAGUGCAAUCGUGCUUGGGACCCAUCCCAAUGUCAUCACAUGGCUGUGAUGACUAGUGUAUACCUGGGAGAGUUUUUCCUCAACUGAGACGGAGUGUAGGUGGAUGGAUUAUGAGAAAUGCGAAGAUGUGGAGUUCAAGGCUAGAUGCACUUCACAUUCGGCGUGCGAUCUCGGCGUCUGUGACCUGAUAACGUCUUGGUUGGAUGGGUAAUCAAGGAUGAUACUACUCGGCACACCAAUGUACAUGUCAAUGUAACUUUUACUU